AAUGAAUAAUAUUUUUGACUCUCAUCACUUUAUGUGUGUUCAUAUUUCACUUUCUCCAUCCUAAUACCUUGAACUUUAGUAUUCCAAUUAUGUACUGAGAUAAUGGAUUUCUAGCUUCACUACAAGAUAAUUUGGAAAUAACGGCGGAAUGAUAGCGGCGGUUCCUUGAAACAGUCGUCGCUAUUUGAAUUCUAGGACAUUGCGGCUGUUCUAUGUAAACCGUCGCGGCUCAGAUCUGGAAAAAGCGCGCUUCCCAUUUCUUUUUUUACCUCUUCUUAUUUUCCACCCAAACAUUUCAAGUUUUGAUACACUAGUUUCAUUUUCGUAGAACAAUGAAAUCUCCUAUUUGUAAUUUCUGAAAAUCAUUCUCUGUAUCGUUCAACCCUCGUUCAACUUCAGCAAAGCUUAGAGCGAUUCAGAAUCGUUCUCUGAUUCUGAAGAUCGUUCAACUUCUGAAUCUUUCAACUUUGAUUCGGUUCAACUCUCGUUCAACUUCAGAAUCGUUCUCUCAAGCUUCGAUUCAGUUUCUCAGCAAAGCCACGAAAUCCUUCUCAUCUUCUCAAGCAAAGCUUCGAUUCAGAAUCUCUAUAGCUUUAAUUCAGUUUUGUUCAUCCAUCGAUCCAGGGUCUUCAUGCCGGUCUUAACCUUGCAUUGGCUAUUGCUCUACAAAAUAUCCCUGAGGUACAAAUUCUUAUCUCGUGACAGAGUUAGUUUAGAUUUGAGGUGAGUAUUGUAAAACUGUGACAGGCAAGAUGCAUCUUUUAUUGCUGCAGUUAUGAAUUAUGCGUUGCAUAUGCAUAUAUUUUUCACCCCUUUGUCCUACUUUGUUUUGUUGAUAUUGGAUAUAUACAGGAUUGUUACCAAUUCAUACUUGAACAAGACAAAGUUGCUAAAACUAGUUUUGAGGAGUCUGAAGUUACCUCAGCACUUAGAAGUGACAGGUCUUGAAAUAAAGAGGCAUCACAAAUUUUACACUUUGUCUGUUCAAAUUUACAGUCCUGUUGAUUCUGUUUAAAGUGUAUUAUAUGACCAGAUGAGUAUAGUAUAGGUAGACGUGGUUACCCAUAUUAUAUGACCAGAUGAGCCAGUUGUGUGUGUAUGUGGUUUGACCUCUGAUUAUUGUGUGCCCGAGUAGAACUAUUGUGUGUGAAUAUUGUCAAUGUGCCUCUGUAUUUUAUUGACUGUUAUUAAUCUUAAGUUAAUCCCCUAAGUACUUCAGUUGUAUGUGAUAUCUGAAUCGGCUUCGGGUUCUUGCUAACCUUAUUGAGAUAACUAUUGUAGCUGGUUACUGAAGCAUUUCCUUAACCUUUUAUGAUGUUUUAGCUUUUCUAUUGUGGCUUUUCCAUUGUCAUGUUCAAAUGUGAAUGGGCUAAUACAACUAACCUUAAGAGGCAUGAAGAAGGAUAAGUUGAGCUUUACUUCUAUUAACUUUGCAAGAUUAAUACAUACCGGAGAACAUGAUGAUGAUGAACCAUACAUCAAAGCUUCUAAACCAUACAACAAACUCGUGUU